UACGGGAGGCAGCAGGAGGGAAUCUUGCACAAUGGAGGAAACAUCAUGAUGCAGCGAUGCCGCGUGAGUGAAGAAGGCCCUUGGGCUGUAAAGCUCUUUCGUCGGGGAAGAAAAUGACUGUACCCGAAUAAGAAGGUCCGGCUAACUUCGUGCCAGCAGCCGCGGUAAU
rnacentral:rRNA from 1 species